rnacentral:lncRNA from 1 species
AUGCAGGAAAAGCAAAACUAUUCUUAGCCACUUCAAUUUAUCUGUUAUGAAAAUUUUUAUUUUUUAUUUUAUUUUUGAGACAGAGUCUUGCUGUGUCCCCCAGGCUGGAGUGCAGUGGUACUAUCUUGGCCCACUGAAACUUCUGCCUCCUGGGUUCAAGCGAUUCUCCUGCCUCAGCCUUCUGAACAGCUGGGAUUACAGGUGUGCGUCACUACACCCAGUUAAUAUUUUUGUGUUUUUAGUAGAGACAGGGUUUCACCAUGUUGGCCAGUCUGGUCUCAAAUUCCUGGCCUCAAAAAACUUCAACAGUUUGCUGGAACUUCUCCACUGGACUCCUGGACUUCCACAAAAGUACUCUCAUCUGGAGCUACUAAGAAGUCUGGGCCGGGUGCGGUGGCUCAGGCCUGUAAUCCAAGCACUUUGGGAGGCUGAGGCAGGAG